AUUGAACGCUGGCGGCAGGCCUAACACAUGCAAGUCGAGCGAGCGGCGGACGGGUGAGUAAUGUCUGGGAAACUGCCUGAUGGAGGGGGAUAACUACUGGAAACGGUAGCUAAUACCCCAUACCAUCAGCUGUGCCCAGAUGGGAUGAGCUAGUAGGUGGGGUAACGGCUCACCUAGGCGACGAUCCCUAUCUGGUCUGUGAGGAGGACCAGGCAGACUGGAACUGAGACGCGGUCCAUACUCCUACGUGGGGCAGCAGGUGGGAAUAUUGCACAAUGGGCGCAGGCCGGAUGCAGCCAUGCCGCGUGUGGGAAGAAGGCCUUCGGGUUGGAAAGCACUUUCAGCGGGGAGGCGUUACGCGCAGAAGAAGCAACGGCUAACUCCGUGCCAGCAGCCGCGGUAAUAC
rnacentral:rRNA from 1 species